CUAAGGAUUAUGUUUUCUUGCCUGAAAUAUGGAAGAAACAUUCGGAAGAUGAACCUCCGGGUUCAUCACGUUAACGUUUUGCGUUCAGUUUUGAAGGCUCAUUUUGUUGAGCAUUCAAAGCUUUUUUAAUCUCUAUACUUGUUCAUUGAAAACUGAAUGAAACGACAUUGAAAGUAAAUCAAGUAAUCAACCGAGUCAUAGUAAUAUGAUUCAAGCAAAUCUUUUUAACCUUCUAAUUCCUAUCGCUAGGAAGAAGUUGGACCUUUUAUA
rnacentral:misc_RNA from 1 species